rnacentral:rRNA from 1 species
UACGUAGGGGGGCUAGCGUUGUCCGGAAUCAUUGGGCGUAAAGCGCGUGUAGGCGGUUCGGUAAGUCCGCUGUGAAAGUCGGGGGCUCAACCCUCGGAUGCCGGUGGAUACUGUCGGACUAGAGUACGGAAGAGGCGAGUGGAAUCCGUGUGUAGCGGUGAAAUGCGCAGAUAUCAGGAGGAACACCGAUUGCGAAGGCAGCUCGCUGGGACGUUACCUGAGCUGAGACGCGAAAGCGUGGGGAGCAAACAGG